rnacentral:rRNA from 1 species
UACGAAGGGGGCUAGCGUUGUUCGGAAUUACUGGGCGUAAAGCGCACGUAGGCGGACUAUUAAGUCAGGGGUGAAAUCCCGGGGCUCAACCCCGGAACUGCCUUUGAUACUGGUAGUCUCGAGUCCGGAAGAGGUGAGUGGAAUUCCGGGUGUAGUGGUGGAAUGCGUAGAGAUCCGGAGGAACACCAGCGGCGAAGGCGGCAUCCUGGACUGGUCCUGACACUCAUGGGCGAAAGCGUGGGGAGCGAUCCGG